AAAAGGACACGUUUGUUUUAGAAAGCGUUGAUUCUGCUGAUGAACAAUUUCAAAAUACUAAUGCUGAGACUCUCAGUACUAAUUGUAUUCCUAUUAAAAAUGGCAGCCUGUUAAUGGUUUCUGAUAGUGAGAGGACAACAGAAGGGACUUCGCAACAGAAAGUUAAGGAAGGAAAUGGAAAAACAGUGCCUGGAGAGACAGGUCUUCCAGGUUCCAUGAAAGAUACAUGUAAAAUUGUACUUGCAACACCAAGACUUCAUAUAACAAUACCUCGGAGGUCAAAAAGAAAUAUUUCAAAGCUUUCUCCUCCAAGAAUAUUUCAAACUGUUACAAAUGGACUUAAAAAAAAUCAGUGACAGUGUGACAUAGUGAAAAGAACAGUGAGUUGAAUGUAAGAAGACCCACAUGUUAAGUCUUAUUUUGCUCUAUUACUAGUUGUGUAGUCUUCAAUAAUUUACUUGUUCCUUUUGGUGAUGAACAUUGAAUUCAUUCCUACUCUUUUUUUUCUGAUACUUACAGUACUAUUAAAAUAGUUAGAUUAAUUAAGAUAGAAAGGAACUGUAGCAUCUGAAGAUUUGAGAAUUUUUCCCAAAUUAAAUACAGAGUAAUCAAUGAAAGACUUUAGAGCAUUAAACUGUUACAUUAGGACAAAUUCUCUGAAGGAAGUGGAAUGGAAAUACAAGCUUAAGGAGGAAGAUGCAGUGUAAAAUUUCCAAUUGUUAGAGGUUUGCCCAUUAAUUAAUUAAUUAUUUUUGA
rnacentral:lncRNA from 1 species